UACGGGGGGGGCAAGCGUUGUUCGGAAUUACUGGGCGUAAAGGGUGCGUAGGCGGCUUUCUAAGUUGGAUGUGAAAACUCUGGGCUCAACCCAGAGCCUGCAUCCAAAACUGGAGAGCUAGGGUUCUGGAGGGGAAAGCGGAAUUCCUGGUGUAGCGGUGAAAUGCGUGAGAUAUCAGGAGGAACACCGGUGGCGAAGGCGGCUUCUGGACG
rnacentral:rRNA from 1 species